GGCGAACGCUGGCGGCGUGCCUAAUACAUGCAAGUCGAGCGGAUGGAAGGAAGCUUGCUUCCUAAAGUCAGCGGCGGACGGGUGAGUAACACGUGGGCAACCUGCCCCUAAGAUCGGGAUAACUUCGGGAAACCGGAGCUAAUACCGGAUAUGAUUAUGUCUCACAUGAGACAUAAUGGAAAGACGGUUUCGGCUGUCACUUAGGGAUGGGCCCGCGGCGCAUUAGCUAGUUGGUGAGGUAACGGCUCACCAAGGCGACGAUGCGUAGCCGACCUGAGAGGGUGAUCGGCCACACUGGGACUGAGACACGGCCCAGACUCCUACGGGAGGCAGCAGUAGGGAAUCUUCCGCAAUGGACGAAAGUCUGACGGAGCAACGCCGCGUGAGUGAAGAAGGUUUUCGGAUCGUAAAACUCUGUUGUUAGGGAAGAACAAGUACCAUAGUAACUGAUGGUACCUUGACGGUACCUAACCAGAAAGCCACGGCUAACUACGUGCCAGCCGCCGCCGUAACAC
rnacentral:rRNA from 1 species